UACAUAGGGAGCAAGCGUUAUCCGGAUUUAUUGGGUGUAAAGGGUGCGUAGACGGGAAAUUAAGUUAGAAGUGAAAUACCUAGGGCUUAACCCAGGUGCUGCUUCUAAAACUGAUAGACUUGAGUGCAGUAGAGGAAAGUGGAAUUCCUAGUGUAGCGGUGGAAUGCGUAGAUAUUAGGAGGAACAUCAGUGGCGAAGGCGACUUUCUGGACUGUAACUGACGCUGAGGCACGAAAGUGUGGGGAGCAAACAGG
rnacentral:rRNA from 1 species